ACCUGGGUGGCUCAGUGGUUGAGCAUCUGCCUUUGGUUCAGGUCAUAAUCCUAGGGUCCUAGGAUCAAGUCCUGCUCAGGUU
rnacentral:tRNA from 1 species